AGAGUUUGAUCAUGGCUCAGAACGAACGCUGGCGGCAGGCCUAACACAUGCAAGUCGAGCGCGCCCUUCGGGGUGAGCGGCGGACGGGUUAGUAACGCGUGGGAACGUACCCAGAUCUACGGAAUAGCCUUUGGAAACGAAGAGUAAUACCGUAUACGCCCUUCGGGGGAAAGAUUUAUCGGAUUUGGAUCGGCCCGCGUUAGAUUAGAUAGUUGGUGGGGUAAUGGCCUACCAAGUCUACGAUCUAUAGCUGGUUUUAGAGGAUGAUCAGCAACACUGGGACUGAGACACGGCCCAGACUCCUACGGGAGGCAGCAGUGGGGAAUCUUAGACAAUGGGCGCAAGCCUGAUCUAGCCAUGCCGCGUGAGUGAUGAAGGCCUUAGGGUCGUAAAGCUCUUUCGCCAGGGAUGAUAAUGACAGUACCUGGUAAAGAAACCCCGGCUAACUCCGUGCCAGCAGCCGCGGUAAUACGGAGGGGGUUAGCGUUGUUCGGAAUUACUGGGCGUAAAGCGCGCGUAGGCGGACCAGAAAGUUGGGGGUGAAAUCCCGGGGCUCAACCCCGGAACUGCCUCCAAAACUCCUGAUCUAGAGUUCGAGAGAGGUGAGUGGAACUCCGAGUGUAGAGGUGAAAUUCGUAGAUAUUCGGAAGAACACCAGUGGCGAAGGCGGCUCACUGGCUCGAUACUG
rnacentral:rRNA from 1 species